UACUAAAGAAAUAAGAACUAUUAACUUGACAAGCCUUUUCCUACUUCCCCUUCUUUAGCAAGCUUUAAAUAUACAUCUUUUGAUGAUCAUAACUGCUAAAUGCAAGUUUUCACUUAAAAAAGAAAUAUUUUUAAAAACCAGCUUAUCUUUUAUUAUUGCACUAAUCUCCCAUUCUCAAGAAACUGUCUUUUGUUGUUCCUCCAUGUGGUGACUACAGUACCUUCAACUGCAUUAAUUAUAAUCAAAUCAAAGGAAGGAAAACACCAGUUCUUUAACUAAAACAAAUAUUUUUUUAACUGGCCCAAUUUUAGGAAGCAUUAAGUACUUUUAUUUACACAGCAAAAUGACUUUUAAAAUAAGGUAAAGAGUUGUUCCAUACUGAAUGUGCAAAGCAGUACUGAAAAGAUGGGAAUGUCAUGUUUAGUUUUUUCCAUUUUUAAUUUAUGCCAACGUGAAGGUGGACAGUACAGAACAUCAGCACAGAUAGCUAAAUUACAUUACUGGACAUCCCACUUUACCAACUGCCUACUCAAAUUUCUCACGUUUAUAAACAUGAAUACAAAGGGCACAAAAAUGGAGGGGAUGGUGUGUGCAGUUAUCUGUGCUCAACUGUGAAUGUUCUAUCAAGAUACAUAAUGCAAUGAGAUGGGAAUGUUUACCCUCUACACUGUAUCUCUACAGCAUCUCUAGAAUCUACAGUAUCUCUAACCAGAUUAACUCUUUCCCCCGCCCCCGUGAACUGGGAAAGGGGUGUCUUGAUGCAUUUACUAUAACUGUUUUGAGGUAGAGAUGAUCAUCAUAAAACAUAAUUGAACAAUUCAAACUCAUUUUCCUCAAAUCAAGUGCACCCUUCCUCCCGUUCCUACAUAAAGACACAUCACUUUGCUACUAAAAAUUUCCAUUCCUCACAAGUGACUUUUCCUGAACUCAAGUCAACACUGCUUUGCGCCCAGGCUUUCGACUGACUGCACCUUGUGGGCAGAGAGUUGUGAUUAUUACUAAUUCCUCUCCUUAAACUCUUUUCCAUUUUUUAAAUGCUGUCCCGAUUAAGCAGGACUCACAUUAACCAGUAUCUAAAGGAGACGUUUACAGGGGUGAAAAAUACACUUUCCAUUAAUACAUCCAUCCCACUCCCGUGUGCACAGUAGGUGGGACUAUUUGCAAACUUAAGAAUUAGUUUUAUAUAUGUUAACCACCAUCCAAAGGAGGCAAUUCCCUCCAUUUUCAAGCACUCAUGUUGAUUCGAGACCCUCUGACUUUUGGCCUUUAGAAACUGCUCACCACUCGAGUCCCAAGACAGAACCACAUUUAGCAACGGGUCUUCUGACUUCCUGAUACCCAAACCCACAAGCGCCAGGACUGCUGCGUCGGUUCGUUAUAAAACACUGUUUGCUCCCUUCGCCUUCCGGGGAAGCCAGGGCUUUCCGCCCCGGGGCGCCGCUGGGAGGGGAGGGUCACGCGUUUGGAAAGCAAACACCGGGGUCUGGCCGAGCGGCGUCCGGGGGGUUAAGUGGCGACUCUCCUCCCCGGAGGCUGAGCCGGCCGGCAGCGCUCAGGCUGAAGGAGAAAAGAAGAAGGUCAGCAAUGCUGAUGAUAAAAACUAAGAGCAGUGGAAACAAAAGAAACAAGAAGGCGGCAGAAGGCAACUUAAUCUGAAUUAGCCCUAUCCGAUCAAACACGCCAACCCCGGAGGAAGCGCACUGUUGGAGGAACUAAGGAUAAUCCAGCCUGACCUUCAGUUGCAGGACGAGAACUGUGGUGCGGAGAAAGCUGCACCCGAUUUAGGAGACCCCAGGGUCUAGGUCUGGGACCAAAUUAAGUUACUGUAGUGAGCAAGUUAUUUUGCCUUUUUGACACUGUUAGUGUUUUAAACACCUUUGUACAGUUUACUUGGCACUAUAAACGUGAAUUCUGAAGUGUAUAAACUGCUUUCUUCCAAAAACGCCAAACUUACUGAGAUUAGUUUCCUUUCUGGGAUAUUUGAAUAUAAAUCCCUAGGGCACUUGCAGCUUAAAAAUCCGAUAAUUUCUCUAAAAUUGAAUUUUUAAAAUUUAUUUUUAUUGAUUUCAGAGAGGAAGGGAGAAGAGGAGAGAGAGAAACAUCAACUAUGAGAGAGAAUCAUUGAUCAGCUGCCUCCUGCAUGCCCCCUACUGGGGAUCCAGCCAGCACGUCCCAGGCAUGUGCCCAGACUGGGAAUGGAACUGUGACCUCCUGGUUCAUAGGUCCAUGCUCCACUGCGCCACACUCACUGGGCUAGAAUGGAACUUAUUAAAAUUACCAGCCCACUCCUGUGACCUAGUAUCUUGGUAGUAGAGCCUGGUCUGCAUGUCCAGUGGCCUGCCUGUUCUAACCCUCCCCUUUUGAAAAUGCCUAAAGUGUUCUCUAUGUGAAAAUAAUAGCAACUGGGUUUUUUUUGUACAAACUACAGAAAUAAAUACUUUGUCUUUUUUC